rnacentral:rRNA from 1 species
UACGGAGGGUGCAAGCGUUAUCCGGAUUCACUGGGUUUAAAGGGUGCGUAGGUGGGCAAGUAAGUCAGUGGUGAAAUCUCCGGGCUUAACCCGGAAACUGCCAUUGAUACUAUUUGUCUUGAAUACCGUGGAGGUCAGCGGAAUAUGUCAUGUAGCGGUGAAAUGCUUAGAUAUGACAUAGAACACCAAUUGCGAAGGCAGCUGGCUACACGAAUAUUGACACUGAUGCACGAAAGCGUGGGGAUCAAACAGG